rnacentral:tRNA from 1 species
GCGCUCGUGAUUGAAUUGGUAGACAUGAAACCUAGAGGUGGUUGUGCUCAAAAGGCGUAAAGGUUCGAGUCCUUUCGAGCGGACCA